ACCAGCCACACUGGGACUGAGACACGGCCCAGACUCCUACGGGAGGCAGCAGUGGGGAAUUUUGGACAAUGGGGGAAACCCUGAUAGCCAUGCCGCGUGAGUGAAGAAGGCCUCGGGUUGUAAAGCUCUUUCAGCCGGAACGAAACGGUCACGGCUAAUACCUGUGACUACUGACGGUACCGGAAGAAGAAGCACCGGCUAACUACGUGCCAGCAGCCGCGGUAAUACGUAGGGUGCAAGCGUUAAUCGGAAUUACUGGGCGUAAAGCGUGCGCAGGCGGUUUUGUAAGUCAGAUGUGAAAUCCCCGGGCUUAACCUGGGAACUGCGUUUGAAACUACAAAGCUA
rnacentral:rRNA from 1 species